rnacentral:rRNA from 1 species
CCUACGGGUGGCAGCAGUGGGGAAUAUUGCACAAUGGGGGAAACCCUGAUGCAGCGACGCCGCGUGAGCGCGGAAGUAUUUCGGUAUGUAAAGCUCUAUCAGCAGGGACGAAAAAAGACGGUACCUGACUAAGAAGCCCCGGCUAACUACGUGCCAGCAGCCGCGGUAAUACGUAGGGGGCAAGCGUUAUCCGGAUUUACUGGGUGGAAAGGGAGCGUAGAUGGCAAGGCAAGCCAGAAGUGAAAGGGCAGGGCUCAACCCUGUACAUGCUUUUGGAACUGGGGUGAUAGAGGGCAGGAGGGGUAAGUGGAAUUCCUAGUGUAGCGGUGAAAUGCGUAGAUAUUAGGAGGAACACCAGUGGCGAAGGCGGCUUACUGGACUGUAACUGACGUUGAGGCUCGAAAGCGUGGGGAGCAAACAGGAUUAGAUACCCUUGUAGUC